rnacentral:tRNA from 1 species
GCGGGGGUAGCUCAGUUGGUAGAGCGCUAGCCUUCCAAGCUGGAUGUCGCGGGUUCGAGCCCCGUCCCCCGCU